UCCGUUGCUCAAAUCAGGAUC
ensembl:piRNA 21ur-3346 ncRNA